CCACUUUCUGGCUUCGUCUAUGCGUGAAACCAGAAGAGUCGGUGAUAGAUUGAGGGGCAGCAAUGUGCCGAAGAAAAAGAAGAGUUGUAACACUCGGUUUUACGUGAAGACAUUUCCCAGCAUCUUUUUGGCAUGAUUUCAACACAUUUUGCCAUAUCUGAUGUUCUACAGCUUUCUAUGGUGUUUUUGGUGUUUUCUAGCAGCAGCAAGUGGCGGCUGGUGGCGCUGCAUAGAGGUGCAUGGAGGCACGUACAGUGCUUUGGUGGUUGCAUGUGGU
rnacentral:lncRNA from 1 species